GAUCAUGGCUCAGGAUGAACGCUAGCUACAGGCUUAACACAUGCAAGUCGAGGGCAGCGAGAAGAAGCUGUCUUCUUGUCGGCGACCGGGCGCACGGGUGAGUAACGCGUAUCCAACCUUCCCUUUAGUAGAGGAUAGCCCGGCGAAAGUCGGAUUAAUACUCUAUGUUGUAUUUAGAGGACAUCUGAAGAAUACCAAAGGUUUACCGCUAAAGGAUGGGGAUGCGUCUGAUUAGGUUGUUGGCGGGGUAACGGCCCACCAAGCCUACGAUCAGUAGGGGUUCUGAGAGGAAGGUCCCCCACAUUGGAACUGAGACACGGUCCAAACUCCUACGGGAGGCAGCAGUGAGGAAUAUUGGUCAAUGGACGAAAGUCUGAACCAGCCAAGUAAGCGUGCAGGAUGACGGCCCUAUGGGUUGUAAACUGCUUUUAUAUAGGGAUAAAGUCGGGGACGUGUCCCCGUUUGUAGGUACUAUAUGAAUAAGGACCGGCUAAUUCCGUGCCAGCCGCGGC
rnacentral:rRNA from 1 species